UGAACGCUGGCGGCGUGCCUACUACAUGCAAGUCGAGCGAACGGACGAGAAGCUUGCUUCUCUGAUGUUAGCGGCGGACGGGUGAGUAACACGUGGAUAACCUACCUAUAAGACUGGGAUAACUUCGGGAAACCGGAGCUAAUACCGGAUAAUAUUUUGAACCGCAUGGUUCAAAAGUGAAAGACGGUCUUGCUGUCACUUAUAGAUGGAUCCGCGCUGCAUUAGCUAGUUGGUAAGGUAACGGCUUACCAAGGCAACGAUGCAUAGCCGACCUGAGAGGGUGAUCGGCCACACUGGAACUGAGACACGGUCCAGACUCCUACGGGAGGCAGCAGUAGGGAAUCUUCCGCAAUGGGCGAAAGCCUGACGGAGCAACGCCGCGUGAGUGAUGAAGGUCUUCGGAUCGUAAAACUCUGUUAUUAGGGAAGAACAUAUGUGUAAGUAACUGUGCACACCUUGACGGUACCUAAUCAGAAAGCCACGGCUAACUACGUG
rnacentral:rRNA from 1 species